GCCCCUGUUGCUCAUGUUGGUCAGAGCGCCGGCCUUAUACCCCGGUGAGAGCACGCGCCAGAUAAGCGCGUACACGUCGGUUCGAUUCCGACCAGGGGCACCA
rnacentral:tRNA from 30 species